AAAAAAGACGAGUACGCGUACUCGAUUGUACGUACCCUAACAAUAAGGAUCGGCUAACUCCGUGCCCGCGCCCGCGGUAAUACGGAGGAUCCGAGCGUUAUCCGGAUUUAUUGGGUUUAAAGGGUGCGUAGGCGGGUUGAUAAGUCAAUGGUGAAAGGUUUGCGCUCAGCGUAAACCUUGCCAUUGAAACUGACACUCUUGAGUACAAAUGAGGUAGGCGGAAUGUGUUGUGUAGCGGUGAAAUGCAAAGAUAUGACACAGAACACCAAUUGCGAAGGCAACUUACUGGGAUGUAACUGACGCUGAGGCACAAAAGCGUGGGGAUCAAAAAGGAUUAGAUACCCAGGUAGUCCACGCACUAAACGAUGAUUACUAGCUGUUAGCGAUAGAAUGUUAGUGGCUAAGCGAAAGCGAUAAGUAAUCCACCUGGGGAGUACGACCGCAAGGUUGA
rnacentral:rRNA from 1 species